ACCAAAAGAUGAUUCUUUUGGAAAAACAAAAUAGGCAUGGAUACUUAUGGGGAUUACUUUAAAAUUUUCUGUGUCAUUGUGUUUAAAUAUAUGUCCUUCAGCAAGGGUCCAAAAAGCAUGUCCCACAAAAAGAAGUCAGAGGGAAGGAAGAAAGGAAGAAAGGAAGGAUGGAAGGAAGGAAGGAAAGAAUGAACAAAGGAAGGAACAAAUGAAGGAACGAAUGAAUGAAGGAACAAAGAAAGGAAUGAAGAAAGGAACAAAGAAAGGAAGGAAAGUAGAAACGAACAAACGAAGGAAGGAACGAACGAACGAACAAAAGAAGGAAAGGAAGUUACACUUUGCUGAGCUCCAAGGGAUGUGCGAGAGUCCUGAAAAUCAAAGAUUCUCUUUUAUUCUCCCUAUUAAACAACUCAAUUUCCAGCUACCUGAAUGGAAGCAAGCUACACAGAUCUCUCACACCUACACCAGAAAAAUUGAAAUUUGCAAAAUAAUGUUUAAGAAAUCAAAUGAAAGACUAAAGCAGGUGACUUCUUCCACCAGAGAAAUGUCUUGAAUACUAAGUGGACUAUGAAAUGAACCAUAAAGAAAGCUAUGAAUUUUAAGAAGUAGCUAUGAAGCAUGAAAAAAGGAUGGAGGCAAAAGAUGGAUUGAUUGUCAACUCAUUGAGCAAUGUCUGAUAUUUAUUUUUAAGGAUGUAUUCAAAUAGUAAUUUCUUGAUAAAAAUGAAGCUAAAAAUAAAAAGAACACAAAGUGCUGUCGAUAU
rnacentral:lncRNA from 1 species